ensembl:lncRNA
GGAGGGAUUAGCCAAGCGGGCAUGUCGGGGGAGAGAGCCCUGGGCAGAGAGAACUAGAGUAAAGGGUCUAAGGCAGGGUGGACAGGGUGAUGGGGGAGGCGGUCAUAAGAAGAGGGACAGAGAAGUAAGGACAGAGGGAACAUGGGCCGGAUGGGCUUGAGGCCAAACCCAGAAAGAAGAGAGAAGACAAACUGAAGCAAGUUCUCUAAACCUUCUGGUAAGGGACUCGGGAGAAAAUCCCCUGAACUGGCACUAGUUCUGGUGUGAACGAUUGUUGGCCUUGCUGACGUCACAUUCUCUCUGAGAUGCAUUUCCUUGCUCUUACAUUUAGACACUUGCACCAAUUCUUUGCUUCAUCCACUUACUCAAGGGACACUGUCCAUUACCCAUGGGGCCCCAGGCACACGGCAUGGCACAGCACUGCAGACUCUAAGCUGGGUCACGCACGGCCUCAGCCCUCCCUGUGCAGUGUCCCUCCUGCUCUACACUCUGCUGAAAGAAGUGAGGGGAGGGGCCUAGAGACGGCGUGAUGAUGGGACGACUCUGACCUUGAAAUGGAGUUCGGCUUCCUCUGAGCAGUCCCAAAGGAAGGCACUGGAUGGGUGGAAGGUUUUGCUAAACAGAUCUGGGAGACAAGAGAAGGAAGGCUUCUGCAAAAAUCCGAUGGGCUCUGCUCAUUGGACGUCUUCAAGCAAAGGCUGGAAGACCAUUUGCUGGAGAUGUCAUAGAGAUUUGGGUGUUGGAUGGAGGCUGGAUUAGAUGGUUUUUAAGGCCUGAGGGAAUUUUCUCAGGUAUCUGCCACUCUGGAGGACAUUGGUACAAAGGCAGGUUGUGGCUGUUGGGUUGUGUUGAGAGUCUUGCUUUGAUCUGAGGGUCAGACUGCUCUCCCAUGAGCACCGAGGUGAAUCAGACGGUGGCCUCUGAAGCAGGGGGGCAUGCAGGCUUCUCGGUGGGCCUUUCUUCUCCACCGGGUUCUGUGGGCAGAAUGUUCCUUAACUGAGUUUGCUUCAAGGCCUCACUGCCUCCCCUUGUCGGGCGUGAGGCUGGGGUUGCUCUGGGCCUGGCCUCGCCCUACUGUCCACCUGUCUGUGUUCUCACACAGGACUCCAGGCUCUGGGACCCAGAGUGUUUCCUUCUUCCAGAUUAAUAGUUACCGAACUCCGUUAUUCUCCAAAAAAGUCCUGUGGUGACAUGGGAGCAACUAAAUGUCCAUCAAGAGAGGAAUGGAUAAAGAAGAUGUGGCACAUAUAUACAGUGAAAUAUUGCUCAGCCAUAAGAAGGAACAAAAUUGUGUCAUUUACAGAGAGGUGGAUGGAUCUAGAGACUUUCACAUAGAGUAAA